UGACUAAUUCUUAGCAUUAUGACAAUAACGUGAAUUUAUAGUAGUAUAUUCUAUUCAUAAUUAAGGAAAAGUAGAUAUAGUUUAAAUUUGCGAAACACAUAUUUCAUGACAAAUAAAAAUAUCUAUGAGUUUAUCUCACCAUUUCGCCUAAGAAUAAAAACUGAUUUAUCUAUCUUAUCGGCUUAACCGCCAAGGUUUUCUAUCUAAUGUCAAUUAACGACGAGGAGAUAUAAUGUUUUGAACAUUAUAACAAAAAUGUGAAAAAACAUUUUCUUAUCAGCAUUCAGUGAAGUCACAUCUAUUAAGCAUGAUUUAAGUUCGAGGUGCGUGUAUAAAUUGAAAGUUAUUUUAUGAAUUUAAAAUGACGUCCAGUUCAGAUCAGUCAAGUAAUAACUGGAAAUUAAGCAAAAUUCUUGGCGUUGGGGGCUUUGGAAUUGUCGAACUUUGGAUACACGCUCAAAGUAACAAAAAACUUGCAAUAAAGAAAUGCAAAUCAAGUUACACACAGUUAACACCAGUACAACAAAAAAGAUGGGCUAUUGAAGUUGAUAUAAUGGGACGUCUGAAGCAUCCAAAUAUUGUUAAAACUGGAUACUUACCAUUCAAGUUCCCAAAUGUGGAAAAUAGUCUACCAGUUCUCUGUAUGGAAUACUGUAGAAAAGGAGAUUUACGAAAAAUUUUAAAUCAACCAGAAAAUUGUUGUGGAAUUGAAGAAAUAGAGGCUAUCAAAGUGAUGUCUGAGAUUUCAUCAGCUGUAGAAUAUUUACAUUCUCAUAAUAUUACUCAUCGUGAUUUAAAGCCAGAGAACAUUGUACUCCAAGAUGAGAAUAAUAUACUAUCAUACAAACUAAUAGAUCUUGGAUAUGCUAAAGAGCUUGGAGAAGCUAGCACAUCUGCAUCUUUAGUUGGUACAUUGAAUUAUGUUGCUCCAGAACUUUUGUGGCAGGAAAAAUAUAGCUGUUCAGCUGAUUAUUGGAGUUUAGGAAUAUUGUAUUAUGAACUUGUAACUGGAAUGAGGCCAUUUCUACCGACAAUGCAACAUACUAUGGAAUGGAUGAAAUAUAUUAAAAAUAAGUGUAAUGAAGAUAUUCAUGCUUAUGAAACAGAAGGAAUAAUUAUUUUUGGACAGGAUAUUCAAGAUCCAACUCAUUUAUCGAGUCGUCUUCGACAUAAAAUGGUCAAUUGGUUUCGAUUGGUUUUAAAAUGGGAACCACGCAAAAGAGGCAAAAUGAUUGAUGAAUCUGGUACACUUUGUUUGAUGGUAUUCAAAAUGUUACAACAAAUAUUAUCAAAAAAGGUAUUAUAUGUUUUUUGUGUUCCACUUUAUAAAAUCGACACUUAUGAAAUCGAUGGUAACACUACUGUAGAAGAUAUUCAGUUAUUAAUAGAAAGAGAUACUAAUAUCAAAGUCGAACAUCAAAUAUUAACUGAUUACAGUGGUGUGCUACUGAAUGAAAAUACUGCAUUACUUGUCUCAAAAACUAAUGAUCACAUUUUAUUUGUCUUUAGAAAUGAAUGUUACUCAAUUAAAAAUAUACCUACACCAAGGAUUCCUACAGUAGUGGAGAAAAUGAUGAUUCAAUCAAAAGUUGAAUUGUCUUUUGAAGUAUUGCAAAAUUAUUAUCGUCAUACGAUAUAUUUUAUUAAAAAACAAGUAAAUUUAUUUCAGUUGUAUGUUUUUGCCUUUAGUAUAAAUGUAGAUUUGCUACACCAGAAAAUCGAUAAAUUUAAUACAAACAUGGAAAAGACAUUGGAAAGUACAACAAUUCUUAUGAAUCAAGUACAUGCAAUUCGUCUAAAGUAUGCGGACUCAACGGCUGCGGACGCGUCUGAUAAAAAAAAGGUUUUACAGACUUAUUUUGACAAAGUUGACAAGUUGGUCAAUGCAGCUGAUCAAAUAAAAAUAAAGUUUGUAUCUUUGAAGGAAAAUAACAAUAGAUUUAGAGAUACAAUUACAAGUAUUGACUACAUGAAAGAUUUGUCAAAAUUGUUUAGUGAUAUUUGUGACGUAUAUGUAAAAUUUAAACAGGGAAGCCCCCAUAAGAAGGCAAAACCAUUGGAUAUGGUAAAAUUGGUGUUUGAAUUUCUGAACAUAUAUGAAAUACAACAUAAUAAAAAUACACAUGAUAUUACAAGGCAAAUACAUAAUUUGCACGAUGAGUUAUUGAAAUUGGAGAAGAUAUUUAAUUCAGUUACUGUUAUGACAAAAUUAUACUGGAAAGAAUAUCAGAAGAUUGCACAAUUGGAUACCGAAAUUGAUCCGCAACAAUCUAAUAGUCAUCAAUUUUUAAAUAUUUCUACCACCGAAUUAAAUAGUGCCAUUCAAUCAGAGGAUGACGUGAUAUACGAUAAUUUGGUCAUACUUCAUACGAUGGAUAAUUUAAUGGCUGAAAUGCAGAGAAAAUGUCUGGAAGUACUUAGUUUCGAUCCAUUAUCGCAGAUAUAGCAUACAUAUACAUAUAUAAAUAACAUUCAUCUCAUUCAGAAAUAUCUGUGCUUUAGGAGAUAAAGAUCUAAAGAACUUUGAGAAUGAUAAAUAUGGAAUCUUUGUUUGAGAAACAUUGGUAUUACUUGUUUGGUCAAUAAACACGUGGAACAUAAUGACCUGAAUUAGAGUGGAUUUUCAAUAAAGAUAACGUAAGCACGUAUUUUUGAAAUGGACGAUAAAUAAAAGCAAAAAAAAUUUUUUUAAAUACAGGAAGGGUAAAACGUAUAUCUGACAUCCAACCGGCUGUCGAUGCCCUGUUAAACUGUCUACAAUGGAUCAGUGAACUCUUUUUAAGUAAGUUGUAGAGUGAGUAGUAAGUGAAACGAUCGAGUGAAUCUUAUAGCGUGACAAUACAUUUUUUUACUAUACUUUCACUUACGACCUCGAUUUUAUUAUACAUAAAAUUUUAUCUGUCAUACCUGAGAAGAGGGAACAUUCUGUUAAUUCUAUUAAUAAUU